GUUGGAAUCCUCCAGCACCUGAAAGGCCACAGCUUCUCCACCUCAGCUGUUAUAGAGUGAAAAUUCAGGUAUAUUUCAUUUGCCGUAUGAAAAAAUGAAAAGGUUUGCUGUGUUCGGCGCUGCUAGAUUUAGCACCGUUAGCUUUAUCAUUUGCAGUGGAAUCCUAGGCAUGCCUACUUAGAAGUAAGCCCUGAAAAGAACUGCAGCUUAACCAGGAGGGAAAAUGUGCUUUAAAUUUAGGUAAAGUCAAAUUAGGUAAAGCCAAAUUAGCCUAUAACCCUAAGCAUAUUUAACAGGGGUGAUGGAAGAAUGUUUAUCUACUUGAGUGGGAUUCCAGCACCAUUCUAUACAUUUACUCCACCGUCUAUCCCACAGUGUUCAGUAAGACUUUCUCCCUAGUAAGUGUAUUUUAAAAUUCAGCCUUAGGCUCAAGCCAUGGAACUAUAUGCCAUUCAAAAUGUAAGCACUUUGUUUAUUAUAAAGGUAAAGGGACCCCUGACCAUUAGGUCCAGUCAUGGCCGACUCUGGGGUUGCGGCGCACAUCUCACUUUAUUGGCCAAGGGAGCUGGCAUACAGCUUCCAGGUCAUGUGGCCAGCAUGACUAAGCCGCUUCUGGCAAACCAAAGCAGCGCACGGAAACGCCGUUUACCUUCCCGCCACAGCGGUACCUAUUUAUGUACUUGCACUUUGAUGUGCUUUCGAACUGCUAGGUUGGCAGGAGCAGGGACCGAGCAACGGGAGCUCACCCCGUCGCAGGGAUUCGAACUGCCGACCUUCUGACUGGCAAGUCCUAGACUCAGUGGUUUAACCCACAGCACCACCCAUGUCCCCUGUUUAUUAUAGUGGUCAGCUAUUAAUAAUCCAAGCAGAGAGAGAAAUGUCCAGACUGAACAAAUGUUAUCCACUAUUGUGACGGAAAAGAAUACGCACCCAGACAUUGCAGUCGCAUGUAUUUAUUCCUGGUCAAAAUAUUAUUAUUAUUUUUUGCAAAUGCAUACAUAAAGAGUAACCCCAAAGGGUGUAAAGCUUCACCCCACAUCUUUCCUAUUAUCUACUGGCUUCCCAAGGUGAUAUGUUGUGUUUGUUCCAUAAGACCGUAGAAUACAUAAGGGUACCAAAUGGAGUCGUAGGCAGUCUAGGCUUUGGAACAUAUCCUACAUCUUAGAGGGGUAAGGUAGUGCCAGCUUUUAUUGCAUUCGUAACAGCCUUUGGGGAAUGUGAGGCCAUCAAAAUAAGCAUAGUCCUUUUAGGGGUUAAAGAUCCUUAAGCUUUAAAGAGAAUAUAUAAAAGAAAAUUUCUUUCUGAAAUAAUUUAUGGAAAUGCCGUGCUCCCUUUGAAGGUUCCAUGUCACUGCAUAGCACUACGCAAUGUUCUCUUUCUUCACCUGUCAGGCAAGGACCACCUCGAAGAGUCUCACUACUGAUUACUAGUUAAUUGUCAUUAAUAAGUGACAACUGACAUUAUGGGGGCUUAAUGCAGAGAGAAGUGAAAAGAGCCACAGAUAUUCUAAUGAGCCUGACUCCUACGUGCCCUCUAUUGUUGUCGAAAAUGAGGAGCUGUCGUCAUUGUUCAAGAGAUGGGCUUCAAUUGCUCUGGAAAAAAAACCUCUUUUAAUUUCUUUAUGCAUAGAUAAUUCGUGGUGUGCACUCUCUCUUUCUCUCUCCCCCUCUCUCAUUUUGUCUCAUAUACAUACACUGAGUUUUAAAACACAGACACGCACUCAAAUACACUUUGCUACACCUAUUUCUAGGAAUACAAUUAUAAUAACUUUUACUAAUUAUCAGAAUCUGGUACAAAGCCAAUGCACUGCUAUGAAAAAACACUUGCAAUAUGUUUGCGUGAGUCCACAUUUGUGUGUGUAGGUGGAUAGAUAGAAUAAAUGGAUUUAACUCGGAACAUCAGUUUUUUUUAAAAUUAUAAUCAAGACAGAAAUUAGGAGGGGGUGGGGAAACUGGACUAAGACAAGAACCAAUGAACACAAAUGGAAAGCCAGAACAAAAAUGAUUAAGGGUGGCUUAGGAUUGAAAAAUGUAGAAAGGUGCUCAGACGAUUAAGUUAGGAUAAGCUUAAGCUUAUUUGUACAGAAUUUAUGUUGCCUGGUUUUCUUAUUGUUUCAUUCCAGUUACAAUACUAUGUGGUCUAACUCUGGGAUCUUCAGGGGAAAUAUGCUAAAUAAAUAAAGACCCUCUUUCAUAUGUUUCCUUAAUUUUCAUUUAAAUAGCAUGAACAUUGCACCUUGGCUGCAAAGAGACCAUCUUGGCUGUGAAGACCUGCUCCCUGUCCCUCAGGCCUUUUUCUACCUGGGAGAGCAGGGCCAUGACUGACUCCAGCUACAGAAGCUGAGGCUGCUGAACAGAUUCUUCGGCUGGGGUGUUGCUUGCAGGGGGUUGUUGCUGUUGGCUUUUUGUAUCUUUAUUUUAAAUCUUAUUGUGAUUUGUGCAGA